AACAUUGUUUGAAUGUAAAAUUGUACAUUUCAAUAAUUAAAACAGAACUUCAAGUCUUAUUUAUUUUAAUUUUUGAUGACUGUCAAAGUGUUUAAAAGUGAACAGAGAUCAUUUACAGUAUAGACAGAAUCUACUCUGAUUGUUUUACUGUUAUAUUCAUCAUAAUCCUGUGUGUGUAAAAGGUUUGUGAAUGUGUGAACAUUGUUAAAGUCCCCCUGUUCUGUAGUUGUAGUUUUGUUAUCAUUUAAUUUAAGUGUAAAGAUUUUUUGUCUAUAGCUUAUGAAAUUUGAGUAUCAAAUAAGAAACUUGAUUUAUGAACUGCUAUUUGAUCUCACAGUUAUGUUUCAUUGUGGGCGAGCACAGUUAUUUAUUUUCUGUUUAUUCUGCACAUUCAGUUUGAUUCAUGAGUAUCAUUAUAGAGGAGUUUAAAAUGACUGAAAUACAGAUUAUCACUGUUCAUGUCUUUAUCAGCAUCAGUGUGUUUAUUUGUUGUUUAUUGAGACUCACAUUUUAGGAACUGCUCCCUGGUCUCAGGUUCAGGAAUAACUAUGUUGAAAAAAUAUUCAUUCAGAAUCAAAAUCCUCCAGUUUCUCUCUCAGAUGAGACACAGAUUUUCCUACAUCAUCAAAAGAGAUGAGAGAGCUGACAGUGAUGCUGAGUGAGUCUGAAGAUCCAGGAGGAACAGAGAGAGACUGAAAACUCUACACAAACACAAAGACAAACAACACAAACAUAAACUGAUGACACUGAAACAUUUCAUAGAAAAUAUAAUCUCAGUAAAACAUGCUCUUCACUUCCUAAA